rnacentral:rRNA from 1 species
UACGGAGGGUGCGAGCGUUGUCCGGAUUUAUUGGGUUUAAAGGGUGCGUAGGUGGCUUGUUAAGUCAGUGGUGAAAUACAGCCGCUCAACGGUUGAGGUGCCAUUGAUACUGACAAGCUUGAAACAAGUGGAGGUUGCCGGAAUGGAUGGUGUAGCGGUGAAAUGCAUAGAUAUCAUCCAGAACACCGAUUGCGAAGGCAGGUGACUACGUUUGAUUUGACACUGAGGCACGAAAGCAUGGGGAGCAAACAGGAUUAGAUACCCGCGUAGUCC